CUACGGGAGGCUGCAGUGGGGAAUAUUGGGCAAUGGGCGAAAGCCUUACCCAGCAAUGCCGCGUGAGUGAAGAAGGUCUUCGGAUUGUAAAGCUCUUUAAUUAGGGACGAAGAAAGUGACGGUACCUAAGGAAUAAGCCCCGGCUAACUACGUGCCAGCAGCCGCGGUAAUACGUAGGGGGCGAGCGUUGUCCGGAAUGACUGGGCGUAAAGGGUGUGUAGGCGGUUUUACAAGUUAGUGUGUAAUACCCAGAGCUCAACUCGGGUGCUGCAUCUAAAACUAUAAGACUUGAGUGUCGGAGAGGUAAGUGGAAUUCCUAGUGUAGCGGUGGAAUGCGUAGAUAUUAGGAGGAACACCAGAGGCGAAGGCGACUUACUGGAAGAUAACUGACGCUGAGGCACGAAAGUGUGGGGAGCAAACAGGAUUAGAUACCCGAGUAGUC
rnacentral:rRNA from 1 species